UACGAAGGGGGCUAGCGUUGCUCGGAAUCACUGGGCGUAAAGCGCACGUAGGCGGAUCUUUAAGUCAGGGGUGAAAUCCUGGAGCUCAACUCCAGAACUGCCUUUGAUACUGGGGAGCUCGAGUCCGGAAGAGGUGAGUGGAACUCCGAGUGUAGAGGUGAAAUUCGUAGAUAUUCGCAAGAACACCAGUGGCGAAGGCGGCUCACUGGCCCGAUACUGACGCUGAGGCACGAAAGCGUGGGGAGCAAACAGG
rnacentral:rRNA from 1 species